CUCGUGCAACACAACCACUAACAAUGCUGCACCAUACAGGAUGUUCCAGAAUUAACUAUCUGUUUCAAUGAAAUUGAGCAAAUUUUAAAAAAACUGACAGAAUUUUAUUAUGAAAACAAAUAGAUUUAUAAAUCUUAUGUCAAACUUUUAUUGAAAAUUUUCAAUAUGUCUGUAUCCCUGCAUACUUCAAAUCUCUCCCUAGCAUUGUGAAACACAUUUUGAAGCAUUUCAGGAGUUAGCGCGUGCACUGCUAACUGAAUGUGUUCUUUAAGCUCAGCUGAACGAUUGCUCCAUCUUGGGGAUGGAGAUAAAGAAAAUGAUUACUGUUAUGGACACAUAAGAGGUGCAACAAUAUCAAAGGAAG